rnacentral:snRNA from 1 species
AACUCUUGGCCUUUUGACUAAGAUCAAGUGUAGUAAUUGUUCUUAUCAGCUUAAUAUCUCCUCUAUAGAAAUUCCAGGAAGAAAUCACAGCUACACAACUCCU